CUAUAUAUCUAUGUAUGCGAGAUUGUGUUAUAUUGACAUUCUCUGCUACUUGGAAUCCUUCCUUAUGAAGGGUAUAAUAUACUUUCUAGCUCAUAAACGAAUGAGUAAAAGUUAAUAAGUUUACCAAAAGUUGUAUUCUAUUUAGUUUUUGCUUCUAGACUAAUACAUAAACUAUGUUAUGUGAUUUUUAAACAUUGGCAUUGCAACUUUACAUCAAAUAUAUACAAGUGAUUCCCAGACAUUCGCUCUAUAUAUACAGUUUUAUCCCUAGAUUCUUGCGAUAAAAAUGGAUACGUUAAGAGGUAUGAGGGACUCUUAUGCACCACCAUGAAUUUUGUAUACUGGAACAUCAACAUAUAUAUAAGGUUGAAGAUAAAAAUUUAAUAAACAUAAAAGUGUGAUUCUAGUGUAAGAGCCAUGAGCUAAUAGAUCACCGCACGCGUGAGACAGUUUGCCGAGCUUUUUUACGUCAAAACGUUCGGCAAAAGUAGGAUUGACAGCAUCACAGAGGCAAUACAUGUUAUCAAUUUUUAAAUUUUUACAACACUAUGGGAUCAGAGGGAUAAGUGUGAAUUGAGCCUUAGAGACGUAACACGAUAAAUCAAAUCUUCAUAACCUUUCGUUCAGCUACAUCCAGGAAAAGGUUGGAACGACAUUGUUCUUGCAACAACUAUAAACAUAUAUUAUAUAUAAUAGCAUGGAUAUAAUAACAACUUCAUGUUAGUAAAUAAUAAUAAAAAAUA
rnacentral:sRNA from 1 species